CCUACGGGGGGCAGCAGUGGGGAAUAUUGGACAAUGGGCGAAAGCCUGAUCCAGCCAUGCCGCGUGUGUGAAGAAGGCCUUCGGGUUGUAAAGCACUUUCAGUGGGGAAGAAAGCCUUGGGGCUAAUACCCUCGAGGAAGGACAUCACCCACAGAAGCAGCACCGGCUAACUCCGUGCCAGCAGCCGCGGUAAUACGGAGGGUGCGAGCGUUAAUCGGAAUUACUGGGCGUAAAGCGCGCGUAGGCGGUCUGAUAAGCCGGUUGUGAAAGCCCCGGGCUCAACCUGGGAACGGCAUCCGGAACUGUCAGGCUAGAGUGCAGGAGAGGAAGGUAGAAUUCCCGGUGUAGCGGUGAAAUGCGUAGAGAUCGGGAGGAAUACCAGUGGCGAAGGCGGCCUUCUGGACUGACACUGACGCUGAGGUGCGAAAGCGUGGGUAGCAAACAGGAUUAGAUACCCCGGUAGUC
rnacentral:rRNA from 1 species